AUUGAACGCUGGCGGCAGGCCUAACACAUGCAAGUCGAACGAGUGGCGGACGGGUGAGUAAUGUCUGUGAAACUGCCCGAUGGAGGGGGAUAACUACUGGAAACGGUAGCUAAUACCGCAUACCAUCGGAUGUGCCCAGUGGGGAUUAGCUAGUAGGUGGGGUAACGGCUCACCUAGGCGACGAUCCCUAGCUGGUCUGAGAGGAUGACCAGGCACACUGGAACUGAGACACGGUUCAGACUCCUAAGGGAGGCGGCAGUGGGGAAUAUUGCACAAUGGGGGCAAGGCUGAUGCAGCCAUGCCGGGUGUAUGAAGAAGGCCUUCGGGUUGUAAAGUACUUUCAGCGAGGAGGCGUUACUCGCAGAAGAAGCACCGGCUAACUCCGUGCCAGCCGCCGCGGUAAUAC
rnacentral:rRNA from 1 species